rnacentral:rRNA from 1 species
GACGAACGCUGGCGGCGCGCCUAACACAUGCAAGUCGAACGGAGCUGAGAGAAGCUUGCUUUUCUUAGCUUAGUGGCGAACGGGUGAGUAACGCGUGAGUAACCUGCCCUGGAGUGGGGGACAACAGUUGGAAACGACUGCUAAUACCGCAUAAGCCCACGAUCCGGCAUCGGAUUGAGGGAAAAGGAUUUAUUCGCUUCAGGAUGGACUCGCGUCCAAUUAGCUAGUUGGUGAGGUAACGGCCCACCAAGGCGACGAUUGGUAGCCGGACUGAGAGGUUGAACGGCCACAUUGGGACUGAGACACGGCCCAGACUCCUGCGGGAGGCAGCAGUGGGGGAUAUUGCACAAUGGGGGAAACCCUGAUGCAGCGACGCCGCGUGGAGGAAGAAUGUUUUCGGAUUGUAAACUCCUGUCGGUAGGGACGAUAAGGACGGUACCUAACAAGAAAGCACCGGCUAACUACGU